GGCAAGAUGGCCGAGCGGUCCAAGGCGCCAGGUUCAGGUCCACCUGAAUUCCCUUGAAUUAUCACUUCAAGAUCCUCCUGGUCUCAGAAAUGGGGCGUGAGUUCGAAUCUCACUCUUGUCA
rnacentral:tRNA from 1 species